rnacentral:snoRNA from 1 species
AUUGAGGGUAGAGUCAGAUUUGAAUACUGGCUGUUAACUUAGUGUGCUAAAGUCUUAGAAGAAAAACGCUGACCUUAUUCACUGGCUAUGGGCCUCAUGGUAGAGUUAUCUAGUUAGUGGCAUAUUUCAGAUAAAUAA